AAAGUUCCCUUCGGGGAGCGAGUAGAGUGGCGCACGGGUGUUGUAACACGUAGGUAAUCUACCUUUGGAUUGGGAAUAACAACCGGAAACGGUUGCUAAUACCGAAUAAUGCAGCGGCACCCAAUGGUGACAGUUGUUAAAGCGAGGGAUCGCAAGACCUCGCGUCUGAAGAGGAGCCUGCGGCGGAUUAGCUAGUUGGUAAGGUAACGGCUUACCAAGGCGAUGAUCCGUAGCCGGCCUGAGAGGGCGGUCGGCCACACUGACACUGACAUACGGGUCAGACUCCUACGGGAGGCAGCAGUCGGGAAUUUUGGGCAAUGGGCGAAAGCCUGACCCAGCAACGCCGCGUGAAGGAUGAAAUCCUUCGGGAUGUAAACUUCGCAAGAACAGGAAGAAUAAGUCGGUGCAAAUACCACCGAUGAUGACGGUACUGUUUGUAAGCUCCGGCUAACUCCGUGCCAGCAGCCGCGGUAAUACGGGGGGAGCAAGCGUUGUUCGGAUUUACUGGGCGUAAAGGGCGGGUAGGCGGCCACCGCAAGUCAGUUGUGAAAUCUCCGGGCUUAACCCGGAAAGGUCAACUGAUACUGCGGGGCUAGAGUGCAGAAGGGGCAACUGGAAUUCUCGGUGUAGCGGUGAAAUGCGUAGAUAUCGAGAGGAACACCUGCGGCGAAGGCGGGUUGCUGGGCUGACACUGACGCUGAACUGCGAAAGCUAGGGGAGCGAACGGGAUUAGAUACCCCGGUAGUCCUAGCCUUAAACGAUGAAUGCUUGGUGUCUGGGGUUUUAUAGUCCCCGGGUGCCGUCGCUAACGCUUUAAGCAUUCCGCCUGGGGAGUACGGUCGCAAGGCUGAAACUC
rnacentral:rRNA from 1 species